UUUGUUUGUAUGGAGGCAGUACCUCCAAACUGCACAUAGCCACUCUUUGGAAAGUGGGCUUUGAGAUGUGAGGGGAUGAGUCCAGCCUUCCUAUUGCUGCUGUCGCUUGAUACCUGGGUUUGGAGGUAUGGGUGCAUGCCCACAAUGGCUGUGUUGCCUCCUUUUUGCUGCUGGAAGUUCCCAUCAAACUGCCCACCUCAAGAGUCUCUUUUUUUCCCCUACACCUAAAGAGCGCCUUGCGAGCAGGACCUGGAGAUGGCUGGCUCUGAAGCCUUUUUGCAGGCCCUGUGUGAGAAGCUGAGGAUUUCAUUAAAUCUGUAAUCCUUUGCAUAUCUAUGACUAUGCAGAAGCAAACAUGAGAUUUCCAGGUAUUUCCAGUUCUUGGAAACACUUACUUCCAGGAUGUUUUCUCACCCUCCUUCCCCUAGGAGGUGCUCUGAGAUAAUUUCCCACUGUUGAUAAACCGAUUCUGCUUUAUACAUGUCUGAAAGCUGCACAAACAGCCUGUACCUCUCUAGGAAAGUUACCUGUCCCAGGAGGGAUUUGCCAGUGCCAAAGAUGGGUUAUCCAUCAUGAUCAAAAUGUGUUAUGGAGACAAGUGUGGAGUCUUGGGGACUUGCCUGAGAAGUUGGGUAAUUGGUUGCAUGUGAGGCCGCUUAAUCACUGUCAACUUGUGUGUUGAGUGGAUGAAAAGAGUCUUGUGGUGGUUUGGGGCUGUCUGGAGGGGAUGUGCAGUGCUGCAGAGCAGUUCGGGAGUUGCUGUUAUGGUCAGCAUGAAUUAUGCUCGUCAAAUCAUAGGAAUAUGGUGUAAAGACUGUAUCCAUGUCCCAAAACAUGCUCAAGAUGGCACAGGACUGAUGGGCAGGUAGGUAGACAUUUGUCAUUAGUGCUCAUCUGGGGGAAGUGUGAGUGAGCUAUGAUGACCUCACAUCAGGUUGGUACCUAAAGCUAGGUGGAAGAAACUGGGCUUUGAUUUCUCAGCAUGGCAACUCUUGUCCUUUAGCGGUCUUGUCUGUAAAUUGGGGUAAUUCUGCCCUACCCUCACAGGAGCAUGUUAAAUUUAGUGUUUGUGGGGCACUGAGACUGAACAGUGGUGAGCAGGAUACGUGAAGGGAGGUGAAAGUAAGAGCACUGUGCAGACAGCAAAGCUGAGGAGCCCAUGCUGAGCAAGGGAGUUUGAAAGAAAACAGUGAGAAGCUGUUAAAUGAGUCCUGUCCUUCCUGAGUGCUGACUGAGGCUGGGAUCUUGUGGAGCAAUAAUCCAUGAACUGUAUUUUAAUGCUAGCUACACUGUAAGCUUCUAUGUUAUGGUUGGUUUGGCUUUUGUUCAGUAUAGCUCAAGUGGGGAUGGGUAUAAAUACUGUCAUGAGGCAUAUGGGGAGGAUGCUGAGCACAUGGGAGAUACAACUGGUGCUCUGUGCAUGAUGGCCCCUCUGAGCAGCUUUCCUCUUCAGCUGGGCUGCUGUGAGUACAUGGGUGAGCACAGGGAUAGUGAUCAAGAGUAAUUUUUGUAAGAAAUGGCAAGCCUACAAUGAUGGAUAUUAUCUUUCUGUGAAGAACUUGUGGAGCCUGAUGGAAAACUGCCAUUUUGCCAGUUGAUGGAAAUAAUUUCCCUGAUAAACUAUUUGCAACUACUUGGUAAUCAGCUUUCUCCAGCUCAUGUCAUGCCAUCUGGAAAUGCCCAAAGCCUGGCUAUUAACAACUGGCUUUCAGCUCAGCAGGAAGACUUUGGACUCUUGAUUUGCUGAUUUGCUAAUCAAAGAAGCAGGCAGAUGCUGCUGCUGUUGGAGCUUGUGGUGUGAAAUAAAGCAUGCUUACAUCUGAGGGAAACAUUACUGUGUGGGACACUCCAGCUCCCACCAGCCUUCUAUCCACCCUCCUGUGCAUGAAAAGCAGGCUGUGUACAGUCGUGAAUCAAGCAUGGAUGGGUAGCUCCCCCCUUCCACUUCAGACUGUUUAGGUUUGGGGUUGUCCAAGCGGCUUGGGAAUGCAGCACUUGGCUCCCACAGUGGGCUGGUACCAAACACCCCUGCAGGCAGUUUGAAAGCUCCAGGGAAAGCUUUUCUGUCCAGAGCAUUAACUUUUAUUGAUUUUUUUCUUU